rnacentral:rRNA from 1 species
UACGUAGGCAGCGAGCGUUGUUCGGAGUUACUGGGCGUAAAGGGUGUGUAGGCGGCCCCCUAAGUUUGGUGUGAAAUCUCCCGGCUCAACCGGGAGGGUGCGCCGAAAACUGGAGGGCUAGAGUGCGGGAUGGGAGAGUGGAAUUCCUGGUGUAGCGGUGAAAUGCGUAGAUAUCAGGAGGAACACCGGUGGUGCAGACGGCUCUCUGGACCGUAACUGACGCUGAGACACGAAAAGCGUGGGGAGCGAACAGG